rnacentral:lncRNA from 1 species
AACGUUGGUGGGAGCACAUCGCUAAACCCCUAACCAGACAUGGAUUAGAAUCGGCGAUUAGGAGGCUACCUGCUUGGAGACGACGAAGACGACGCUGAGAUCUCAACGAUGUAGGCGACGACACCGAGAAUGCAGAAGAAGACGGUGAGGAGCCCUCAGGAGAUGGCGCCGAGACCAGAGAAGACGACGCCGACGGGACCUCAGGAGACGCCGGCGAGACACGCGCAGAAGACGUCGGCGACGAAGACCACAACGGCGCUCAGAGACUGAUUUGUUAGCGUUAGUGAGAAGAUGGGAAUGGUUGGGUGAGUUAGGGUUAGUAACGCUAAUUAUCUUUUUUUUAACUUAG